UUGAACGCUGGCGGCAUGCCUUACACAUGCAAGUCGAACGGUAGAGGGGCAACCCUUGAGAGUGGCGAACGGGUGAGUAAUAUAUCGGAACGUGCCCAGUCGUGGGGGAUAACGCAGCGAAAGCUGCGCUAAUACCGCAUACGAUCUAUGGAUGAAAGCGGGGGAUCGCAAGACCUCGCGCGAUUGGAGCGGCCGAUAUCAGAUUAGGUAGUUGGUGGGGUAAAGGCCCACCAAGCCGACGAUCUGUAGCUG
rnacentral:rRNA from 1 species